UACGAAGGGAGCUAGCGUUGUUCGGAAUCACUGGGCGUAAAGCGCACGUAGGCGGAUGUGUCAGUCAGGGGUGAAAUCCCGGAGCUCAACUUCGGAACUGCCUUUGAUACAGCACAUCUGGAGUCCGGAAGAGGUGGGUGGAAUUCCUAGUGUAGAGGUGAAAUUCGUAGAUAUUAGGAAGAACACCGGUGGCGAAGGCGGGCUACUGGGCCGAUACUGACGCUGAUGCGCGAAAGCCAGGGGAGCGAACGGG
rnacentral:rRNA from 1 species